GGGGAUGUAGCUCAGUGGUAAAGUGUGUGCUUAGCAUGUGCAAAACCCUGGGUUUGAUUCCCAGUACCA
rnacentral:tRNA from 1 species